GAUCCCAAAUGUCAGCCCCGGCUCCUCGUAGGAAUUUGUUGUCUGCCUGGAUUUCUGAUGUCACUAUACCUGAUUCGCUCAGUCUGGCAACCUGGCCUACCCGGUCGGUGUAGGACAGAUGUGACCUGCUGAGCCGCUGGUGACCCAACCCCCCUCCCCUCCCCUCCCAGAGUGGGCACCCGGGGUACUCACCAUAUCGGCACCGGUACUGACAGACUCCGUUCUUCCCUCCCAGCAGCUCCAUGAAGGAAUCCACGUAGCUGUUGACCGACUCGAAGCUGCCCCGCAGCUGCCGAAGGCCCCAGUCCGAGUAAGACUCCUCUCCCUUGAGGCUGGGGUCGCUCUGAGCCAGGCUGCCCGCCAGGCCAAGCCACAGGAGGAAGAAGGCGCAGGGCAGCUCCAUCCUGCACAUCAGUAGGACGCUGCUCUCGUCCCCCCACCCCAGCCAGGGUCCCAGGAAGCCUGGGGACACACACAGCCCCGUGCCUGGGCUUAUCGGAACAGUCAGCCUGUGUUCCCCAGAGGUGGACUUUAAACACAGCCAUGGAGGCCGGGAGCAGAUCUGAGCGAUUAGAGAGGGCAAAGGCAAGCACCUACUUCUUUCGCAUGUGAUUACUCGGGGUAUCUCAUGAAGUGGAGAAGAGCAUUUGUGUGACUGACUUCACCAAGCUUCAUCCAUGUUGAGCGCGUCAGGAGCAAUCCCAUCACCCCUCUCAAAGGCUGUCAGAACUCUACUGCGCAUCACAGACAGCACAGCCUGGACCUGUGUCACCUGCCCAUCGCAGUGACACACCCAUGUGGCAGUCGACAGAGAGGGCAGGUGCAGCACAGACGAGAGCGAAGGUACAAAUGCCGGAGAGGGACAUGUGUCCGCUCUUGUCUGAGAGACUCCAGACGAGCAGCCUGGGGACUUCCUGAUGGCAGGAAAUGUAAAAGGAAGAGUCUCCUGGAGAAGCAGGAAUAACUUCAGAUGCUGCGGUUGCUUACCUGUAAUUCCUCUGCUGUGGAAACAUCUAGUCCUGUGAGAUCUUGUAUUCUCAUGUUAAUUCUAGACACCACAGGGUCUUCAUAGCCAGCCAGCCAAGCACUAGGACAAGAAAAUAUCAGUUUUAUGGCUACUAUUUCAUUAGAUAAAAGCCCAACAGCUGCCACUUUCAAAGCAACACAGAGGACAUUAGACUUCUUCAACACAGUGUUAGAGAUCAAAUCCAGCCAGGACACUGCAUGCUAACCCAAUGUCUAUCGUGACGCUUCCUUCUCAUCCUUAGUUUUCUGAGUUUCACUGUGGAGUUCAGGCUGGCCUUCAUCUGCAGUGCCCCUUGAUUCAGUCUCCCAAGUACUAGGAUAACUAUGUAAACUACCAUACCCAGCUGGAUAAUAAACUUAAUA